rnacentral:lncRNA from 1 species
CAGGGGUGUGCCCAUCGCUCCCACUCUCCAGCCAAGCUAGGGAAGGGCAGGGCGGGAGAGCGGGAAGCUGGGCCUCUUGCUUUUCUUUCACAUUCCCAGCAUGGUAGAUGGGUGUGGACAUCAAUCCGAAGCCCACUUCCUUUCGAGGGAUCAACAGGAUGUCUCAUCACCGCGCAAAUGCGGCUGCCCCUGUUUAACCCCAUCACAGCCUGGUGCUUCAGGAUCCCUCAAAGUCCAGGGUCAAGGCCCAUUCUCUCCCUGGAUCCUGCCUUCCCUGCUCCACCGGCUCCCUUCUCCAGCCCAACUCCAUUCCUUUCAAAGGGUCUUGUUCCCUGGAGCCUGCCAGCACCGAUCCUGUGUUCCCUAGGAGUCCGGAAGAGGUGAGGCACUGGGGAUGCUUCCUGACCUGGCCUUCGUCUCGCUCCACUGUUUGCAGAGCAGUUGUUCUGCUGAGUGGGGAUGGCAGUGCCAGGACUUCUAGCGAGACGGGAGAGGCACAAGGGGAAACUUGGCGGGGAGAGACCAAGGGUGCGGCGGCUCCACGGGGAGUGGAACUUGCAAGAAGAGCACAGUGGUUUAAAGGGUAUUUUUAGGAUGUGCAAUAUGGCAGGCCUGCUCUCACUCAAGAAGACUCUGAGUUAAAUUCACAUGACUCAUCACUGCUUCCAUGCCCUGGGCUGGAGGCCAGCUUCGGGGAGAGAACAGGGAUGGCCUGAGGGAAAGGGCCCUGGCACCGGGUGUAGGGGAGUGGAUGAGGACUAAGACUGGGGAAUCAGACUCUUACACGCUGAUGGGGACUCCCCAGAACCCACUCGUUUAGCUAGACCAAAUAUUAAACAUGUGGGUGAUAUGAGGCAGCAGGUCUCAGAUCUGCUGUCAUAAAGUGGGUCCAAGCAGGAGGAGACCCCUCCUAGGAGAACCAAGUAGAUAAAUAGCCAGGUUGAUAGAAGUGGGGGAAUCUUCCUCUGCUUCAAAGAGGUAAUAAUAAUUAGAUGUGAGCUUGAAAGAUGGGCAGAAGUGACAAAGGGAGACACAAGGCAGAGAGAGGAGCAGAAGCAGGAAUACAGGACACAGCAGACCCUCGAGCUUGGCGGGACACAGGAUCCUGCUCUGCAACAUCCACUUCCUGCUCCCGAUCUCCCUGAAGGGGCUGCUGCUCGUGGGCCUGCUCUGCACUGUGCUGCAAGUGAGCAGUGCUAAGGGGGCCUCCAGGGGGAAAUAAAGUCACAGCCUGAGCCGGGGAACCGCAGCUCCCACACCAUCAACACCCUCAGAGGGGGCAAGCAGAACCUCUGGCCUCCUAUCAGGUAAUAAGCAGCAAUUGCAGUUCCCCAGGAGACAAGGGCCCUGCAGAGAUGAAAUAUCCCUCAUCCUGGCCUCAGGAAUGCAAUCCCACUCCCAGCUGGCUCUGCACAGCACAGGGAUGCCGAAGGGGCCUCUCUGCCUUCUGCCACCUCUGCCUCAGGAGCAGAUAAAAGAAAGGACAUCCCCCUUGCACACUGAUUCCUUGGAGGCAUCUGCAUCUCACCUUCAUGGAUCCUCCCUCAGGCCUCCUUUCCUUGUGGCUCCAGGAUGACCCUGUCAGAGAUAAUGGACUAUCGUUCAGUUGCAGAGGCCCCAGGGCCCGUCUGGACUUUUCCAUCCCAAGAGGGGCUCAGCUCUAUCCCCUUUGUGCCUGUGACACUCUCCAUCCCCCACCCGGCUCAGAACUGGCACAGCCACCACCAACCACUCCUGAUUCAACCCAAGCUUGGCCCUUUCCACCUCUCAAACUGUGCAACAGCAAAUGCAGGAUGCUCAGCCCUCAUGUGUCAGUCCCCCCAAUUCACUUGUAAUUAAAUAACAACACACCUCUUUUUCUAAUUUUCAAAGGUAUAUCUAUUUCCCCUCAAUAAAGUUGUUAG